rnacentral:rRNA from 1 species
AUGCUAGGACAGUUUAAUAUGGAUUCUGAAGCAAUGAGUACCUGUAAAAAGGCCAGGGCGGAAGCUACAUCUGUUGUGAGUUCAGACAGACUGAACAGUCUACCUCCAGAGAUAAAGGGCGACAUCCUCUCCCAUUUGAAUGUCAAAGAAGCGGUUAGGACUAGCAUCUUAUCAAGUACUUGGAGGGAUGCAUGGGCUAAUAUGCCAGAGAUAUCUCUGCGCGAAGGAAAUUUUACACGAACCAAGUUCAUUACGUUGGUUGAUAUGGUGCUAUUACUCCACAAGGGAACUAUAGAAGACUUUGAUAUUUCAGGUGACAAAAGUUACCAUGAUGAGUUUGGUAGGUGGAUGCUCAUGCUGUCAAGGAGAUCACCAAGACCAGUUAUAAUCAAGUUGAACUCAGGGCCAUGGUAUAGGAUUCCCUCAUACCUCUUUUCUAUCGGCGAUCUGGAGUCUCUGGACCUAGAAAACUGCAUCAUCAGCUUAUUCCAAGGUUUCAAGAGCCUAACUGACCUCAGCCUGGAAAAUUCCUCCUCCAGAGACAUGGAUAUCCAAACAUUGAUCUCGUCCUGCCCUGUACUGACUGAUUUGAUAUUAACUUCUGCUGAGGGCAUCAACUGUCUAAACAUUCGAGCUCCUAAACUGGAAUUUCUUAAUGUUGAAGGGGAGUUUGAAGACAUUAAGUUGGAUGAUCCUAAUCUUGAGGUGGCCAUUUUCUCUCUUGAUCACAAAGCUAAAGCAUGUCAAUCUGUUCCAAUUGCGCAUGACAAGGAAAGCUAUGUCAAGCAGCUAUUGGGAAGCCUAAGUGACGUAAAAACACUUUCAAUUAGUGGCUCUGUUUUCCGGAAGUAUCUAACAAAAGGAUGCAUACUUAUGAAGUUCCGUGUCGUGUUUCAUCGCCUGGAGAAUAUUUAUCUUGGCAUAUACAUUUGGGACCAGAGACAAGUCUCGGCCACUUGUUCAUUGUUGAAGAAUGCCCCUAACUUAAAGAUGCUUGAGCUAUGGAGUUACCCUAGGAACACAUGGGAGCACUAUCAGGAUCAGGCUAGCAUUAAAGAGCUUACCCUGGAAAUGCAAAUGGACCAUCUCGUAAUGGCCAAUGUGAAACAUUUUGGGGGUCUGGACUAUGAAGUCGAUUUUGUGGCAAAGCUACUGAGCUGGGCACCUGCUUUGGAAGAAGUGAAAUUGGAGUGGAAUGGCAAAACAGACCGCAGCAUGGUUCUUACCAAGCUAUUAGCUCUGCCAAGGGUGUCUCCCACAGCCAAGAUCAUUGUCACAUGA